AGCGCAUCGAAGCACGCAAAAAGAGAAAAUUAGAAAAAGAUCUGGUGCUAUAUGGUGGUGUUCUACCAGCUGACCGACCGGUUGAUGAACAGAAUGAGGAUCAUGAGGAUGAGGAUGACGAAGAGGAAGAGAAGCCAUUGGCACGACUUUCUGAGACAACAAUGUAUGACAGCGGGAAUAUCAAAAUCACUGUGACAACAAGUGAGGUAUCUCGAGAAGAAGAAAUCGAUCUCAUUGAGAAGCCACAGACAGCAACAACCCAAUUGUUUGCAAAGGAUAAGAAGCAUAACCUGCCAAUUGCCAAAAAGAAGCCAUUCAAGAAAGUUUCAAAGCAGAGGUCAAGGCCAAAG
rnacentral:misc_RNA from 1 species